ensembl:lncRNA
CCGCGCUUCCUGACCGGGUCCCUCUGCACCAACGUGGGUGGGGGAGGGGCGCACACCCUUUUAGCCUAGGCUUUUGCCGGGUAACCGCGCUGCAUCUGAAGACCUUUCCUGAACCCUGCCGUGCUUCUCGUAGGGACAAGGGGGCUUUAUUGUGUGUCCAAUUCGUGCGCUGCAGCAAAAUGGCCCUUCAGUCUCAUUUUGAGGGAUUCUCGGCAGGGUUCAAAUGCUCCAGCGGUGAAAGAAAAAAAAAAAAAAUCCAGAAGGGAGGAAAAAAAGAGCGACGCCCUCCCUCCCCCAUUAAUUAUUUGUGGGGCUGGAGUAGCGCGGGCUGGUGCAACCGGUGCAUAUAAGGACUUGUGUGCAAAGAAGGGGAUCCGCCUCCAGCCGCGGAACGAAUGAGGGAGAAGCGCACUCCUGUGGGCGCCCAGCGCCCCCCCAUCCCCCGGGCCUCGGCAAUCUACAACUGUCGCAGGGUCGGGUCCGCCAGCAGCCCCGGGAAUCCCAGAUGGCAGUUCUGGACGGGUCACUUCCCGCCUCGAGGUUGGGAAGGUUUGCCAGAAGCGGGAAAGUCGGGCGAUCUGAGCUCCUUCUUGGCCUCGCCACACCCCGGACCUGUCCAUGCCGCAAUUCCCCCACGGAAACGACCGAAUUGAAACGAGAAUUGUUCUCCGGGUGCAGUGGUUUGAAUGCUUCAGAUUGUUGGAGCUGUAACUUGGGUUUUCUGCCCGUCAGUAUCCAAAGGGUGAUAGGUGUCUGAAAUCAGAACAGAGAAACCUGGAAGUUAAGAAGAACAGCAACAGACUGAAAAUGGUAACAAAACUGAAGUCCACCAGGCAGAGAUGGUACCAGGCAAAGUGUCCCAGGCCUGACUCCUGCACACUCACCGCUGCACCACCCUGCCCCUCCCUGCCAUACCAGUUCAGAGGAAGUGUUUCCCAGGGUCAUAAAAUCCCUCCUCUCCGUCAUCAUCAAAACUUCCUCUUGGCCAUCAAGUGAAGUAGAUGACAAAGCUGACUGUCCCAGUUUGGAGUCUUAGAGAAUGACUCACUAAGAAGUUAAAUAUAUACUCUCAUUGAGCAAAGGCAGCUGGUAAAGCUGGGGUCAGAUGGUCAGGCUCGUGAACUGACUGUUCUGCCCACUGGCCCAUACCUGAGGUCCAGGAACAGCCUCAGAAAUGGCUCUGCCUGGGGGAAGAGGCCCUGGGGCUGACUCAGUCAGCAGUGUAAACCCAGAGAAGAAUGCAGGCGCUUCAUUCUUGGGAACUUCUGUUAUGGAAAGUAAAAUCAUUUGGACAAUUGGCAUCUUUUACAUCUUCCUAUUAUGGCUACAGGGAACUUUGCUUUUUUCACAUUUGUGUAUCACUUUAGAGUUUAGAUUUGCUUUUGCUUUCACCUUCUCGUGUAGUGCUCAUGGCAGUAUUUUCUGUCCUAUUUUACAAAUGAGACAUUUAAUAAUUUAUACAGGAUGACACACCCAGCAGGUCUUUAGUUUCCAAAUCUUCUGCUGAACUCCAUCAAAUAUUUAUGUGAAAUAAGUGUGAUGUGUGUCAAUUGUUUUCUCCAAACAAUGGUGAUUAUAUGUAUACUAUAUGUGUGUAUGUGUGUGGGCUUAGUGACUAAACAACAGUAAAGAAAGCAUAUACCAUAAUAUGCAUCAUGGGAUUCAUUUGCGGGGAGAAAAAGAGAAUGCCUGUGUGCUGGAUACAAAAAGGCUGGGGAGAUGCUAGCAGGCCUGACAUUUCUAGGUGGG